GUGCUUGCUUUGGCAGCACAUAUACUACACAUGGGAAGGAGACACAGACGAUUAGGGCGGCCCCUGUACAUGGAUGGCACACACAUUGAUGAGACACUCCAUAUUAAU